rnacentral:rRNA from 1 species
GAACGCUGGCGGCACGCCUAACACAUGCAAGUCGAGCGGUAGCAGGGCCUAGUAGCAAUACUAGCUGCUGACGAGCGGCGGACGGGUGAGGAAUACGUAGGAACCUGCCCUCAAGCGGGGGAUAACCAAGGGAAACUUUGGCUAAUACCGCAUAAUCUCGAGAGAGUAAAGCUGCCCGCGAGGGUGGCACUUGAGGAGGGGCCUGCGUCCGAUUAGCUAGUUGGUGAGGUAAAGGCUCACCAAGGCGGUGAUCGGUAACUGGUCUGAGAGGACGACCAGUCACACUGGGACUGAGACACGGCCCAGACUCCUACGGGAGGCAGCAGUGGGGAAUAUUGGACAAUGGGGGCAACCCUGAUCCAGCGAUGCCGCGUGAGUGAAGAAGGCCCUCGGGUCGUAAAGCUCUUUAGGUUGGGAAGAAGGUUAUGGGGUGAAUAGCCCUGUAAUUUGACGGUACCGACAGAAUAAGCACCGGCAAACUCUGUGCCAGCAGCCGCGGUAAUACAGAGGGUGCAAGCGUUAAUCGGAAUUACUGGGCGUAAAGGGCGCGUAGGCGGUGAGAUGUGUGUGAUGUGAAAGCCCUGGGCUUAACCUAGGAAGUGCAUCGCAAACUGUCUUGCUGGAGUAUAUGAGAGGGUGGCGGAAUUUCCGGUGUAGCGGUGAAAUGCGUAGAGAUCGGAAGGAACGUCGAUGGCGAAGGCAGCCACCUGGCAUAAUACUGACGCUGAGGCGCGAAAGCGUGGGGAGCGAACAGGAUUAGAUACCCUGGUAGUCCACGCUGUAAACGAUGAGUACUAAAUGUUGGUAGGGGAACCUAUCGGUAUUGAAGUUAACACGAUAAGUACUCCGCCUGGGAAGUACGGCCGCAAGGUUGAAACUCAAAUGAAUUGACGGGGGCCCGCACAAGCGGUGGAGCAUGUGGUUUAAUUCGAUGCAACGCGAAGAACCUUACCUACCCUUGACAUCCUGCGAAUCUGGCUGAAAAGCUGGAAUGCCCAAAGGAACGCAAAGACAGGUGCUGCAUGGCUGUCCUCACCUCCUGUUGUGAGAUGUUGGGGUUAAUUCCCCUAAACAAACGCAACCCUUGUCCUUAGUUGCCAGCAUUUAAGUUGGGGACUCUAAGGAGACUGCCGGUGAGGAACCGGAGGAAGGCGGGGACGACGUCAAGUCAUCAUGGCCUUUAUGGGUAGGGCUACACACGUGCUACAAUGGGGCGUACAGAGGGUCGCGAACCCGCGAGGGGGAGCUAAUCUCAUAAAGCGUCUCGUAGUCCGGAUUGGAGUCUGCAACUCGACUCCAUGAAGUUGGAA